rnacentral:rRNA from 1 species
GUGAACGCUGGCGGUAGGCCUAACCCAUGCAAGUCGAACGGCAGCACAGUAAGAGCUUGCUCUUACGGGUGGCGAGUGGCGGACGGGUGAGGAAUACAUCGGAAUCUACUUUUUCGUGGGGGAUAACGUAGGGAAACUUACGCUAAUACCGCAUACGACCUACGGGUGAAAGCAGGGGAUCUUCGGACCUUGCGCGAUUGAAUGAGCCGAUGUCGGAUUAGCUAGUUGGCGGGGUAAAGGCCCACCAAGGCGACGAUCCGUAGCUGGUCUGAGAGGAUGAUCAGCCACACUGAAACGAGGACACGGCCGAGCCUCCUGCGGGAGGAGGCAGGGGGGAAUUUUGGACAAUGGGCGCAAGCCUGACCCAGCCAUACCGCGUGGGGGAAAAAGGCCUUGGGUUUGUAAGCCCCUUUGUUGGGAAAAAAAAAGCAGAAGGUAAAUACCCCGCUGUUCGGACGGUACCCAAAAAAUAAGCCCGGACUAACUUGGUC